AGGUGAAGUUUAUUUAUGGAAAUAACGGUUGUCUGAAUUCAAUUUUUUUAAUUGGUAAUCAUUUUCCAAAAUUAAUAGCUUAAUUUUCGCCAAAGAUGGCGGAUUUGUGGGGUUGGGUGUGUGACCUUGGUUAUUUAGAAUUAAAAAAUAUCGUAUUGUAAUGUCUCUAGUUUCAGUUAUAAGUUUGUAAAGUGUUACAAAAGAAUUUAAGAGUUCGAUGGUAAGCCAUGCCUCAUGGCUCGGAGUGACCUAUCUCCCCCAUCUCCGCGAUCUUUGGAGCCACAGGCUUCGAUGCCCUUACGAGGCAGUGCGGCGGGUAGUCUGUGUGUGUUCGCCGCGCAGAAUACUUCCCCGGAGAGUGGCUGAAGACAAAAUUUUGCUGCCUGUUGUGAGCUAGGUCUGAUCUUGCGUUUUGUUCUGUAUUUGUCGAAAGUUGCUGGUCGGUAUCCCAGCCGGAAGCCUGAGCAGACUCUGACUGUCUGUUGGGGUCUACGACCUGUGCAAGGAGGACCUAGUGAAGCUGUGCGAGAAGUUUCGGGUAGAUGCGACGGGUCCGCUGUUCGAACUUCGUGGCUUUUUUGAGAACACAACAGGAACAGGAAAUUUCGCCUAUUCACGAUUCCGGUUGACGUUAAAUUGGCCGAGGUUCAAACCGGUGAUGUCCCUUCGGCUGAUGAGCUAAUACCCUUAGAGAAUUCUACUCGUCCUGACAAAAUGGGUAAAGGGGUUCCUUCGAAUCCUCCUGGAACGCCCUCCAUCUACAGCCCUCACGUGCACGUGGUGUUAGGAUUGGUUAAGUCCAUGGAAUUAUAUUAUUGAAAUUAUUUGUUGAUUAAAAGUGUUGUAGCACAUUAAAAAAAGUUUAGGAAAAAUCCUGUAUUGGCAUUAAUUGUCAGCUGUGAACAGUGCAUAGUUUUCAUUCCAGUUUCAACAGGUCUCCGAAAGCAUUAUUGACCUUUCUGAUGAAGGCCAACUCGUUGGUUAAAUUGGGCCUAGUCAGGGAAGACGAAGUCCUUUUCGCUCUCCUUCCUAAAACAGUAGGGAGGGUAAUGCAAACGAUGGGCAAUUGUUUGAGGUUUAAUCUCGCGUGGGUUCAAACCCGACUGAGGCUCGUGGAGGAGUUUCUGCCAUCUCAUUUGUUAGAGGACCUUAAGGUAGAAUUCGUCACUCAUCGAUAUCAGUCUGUCGGUGAAAGCUUUUUUGGAAAUUGUAGACUGACAACUGCAAUGAAGAACUGUCUACAAAAACGUGUGUACUAAUCUUCGUUAUCUCGGAAGUUGAUGCUACGACUUCCUAAAGUCUUUCCCUGCCUCAUCUUACAUCGAACACUCGCUGUUACCAGUUACAUCUGAUUAUAAGGAUGACUUCUGAGAGGGCAUACAUCGCAUUGUGGCGUCUCUUCAUUUGAGACCAACGUGUAUGGUCAGUUCGAAGGCAGACUGGAUGUCACCUUCGAUCUGAUGCACAAUUAAAUUAUCUGAGGUCCCGGCAUCUGCACUACGACAACCCAGCCCAGGGAGGAGUUCUGGAGGGGAAGGAUGAGCCAUGCCUCAUGGCUCGGAGUGACCUAUCUCCCCCAUCCCCGCGAUCUUUGGAGCCACAGACUUCGAUGCCCUUAUGAGGCAGUGCGGUGGGUAGUCUGUGUGUGUCCGCCGCGCAGGUUACUUCGCCGGAGAGCGAGAGAGAGUGCCUGAAGACAAAAUUUUCCUGCCUGUUUUGAGCUAGGUCUGAUCUUGCGUUUUGUUCUGUAUUUGUCGAAAGUUGCUGGUCGGUAUCCCAGCCGGAAGCCUGAGCAGAUUCAUGUAAUAUGCUGGAAUCAAUGAAUAUGAAUCAUGGAAGCAUCAAGGAUUAACAAUAAUUACACUGUUUUAUUCUUAUUGAAUGCUAUAUUAGAGCAUUCUGUUCGCUGAAUAAAUAAAGUUUGCUGAGAAAACAUUACAAAUAUACAAUGGGUUCAAAGUCGAAUUCCAAGAGUACCAAAGGAAGCAAGCAAAAUCUGGCUAGAGGUAACAGUGGGAAAUUACAAUCUCAAGAGACAAAUGUGGACAAAGAACCAAAUGGAGAUCCCCAUACUGACUUAUCAGUAUUAAGAAAACCAAUUGAUAUCAGUGUGUCAGGUGUUGGCCAAGUUGUAAAAGUGUACCAGGCUGGCACAACAGAGGUUCGUCAAUUGCUGGCAUAUGAAUGUGAUCUGAUAUAUGAAUGCAAGGUGUGUCGGAACCUUUUUAGAAGCUUGGCAAACUUUCUUUCCCACAAACGUGUUUACUGCAGAGAAGAGUGCUGUGACACCAAACA